rnacentral:ncRNA from 1 species
UAUUUCACUAUGAUAAAGAAGAGUAGUAGUAAUACUUUAUAAGAGAGAUUGUGGCUAGUGUAAACAAUCAAAGUAUUAUUGUGAAAGGAACUUUUGAGUGUAUAAAACUUAGAGUAGGGCAUGUGCCAAUAAGGGUGGAACCGCGGAAGUAAAUUUCGUCCCUUAC